GCUCCGGUGGCCUAGUCGUUAGAGCGUCCGCCUCGGAUGAGGGAGAUUGCGAGUUCAAACCCCGGCCGAGUCA